UACUACGGGAGGCAGCAGUGGGGAAUCUUGGACAAUGGGGGCAACCCUGAUCCAGCCAUGCCGCGUGAGUGAUGAAGGCCUUAGGGUCGUAAAGCUCUUUCGCCUGUGAAGAUAAUGACGGUAGCAGGUAAAGAAACCCCGGCUAACUCCGUGCCAGCAGCCGCGGUAAUACGGAGGGGGUUAGCGUUGUUCGGAAUUACUGGGCGUAAAGCGCACGUAGGCGGAUCGGAAAGUUGGGGGUGAAAUCCCGGGGCUCAACCCCGGAACUGCCUCCAAAACUAUCGGUCUAGAGUUCGAGAGAGGUGAGUGGAAUUCCGAGUGUAGAGGUGAAAUUCGUAGAUAUUCGGAGGAACACCAGUGGCGAAGGCGGCUCACUGGCUCGAUACUGACGCUGAGGUGCGAAAGUGUGGGGAGCAAACAGGAUUAGAUACCCUGGUAGUCCACACCGUAAACGAUGAAUGCCAGUCGUCGGCAAGCAUGCUUGUCGGUGACACACCUAACGGAUUAAGCUUUCCGCCU
rnacentral:rRNA from 1 species